rnacentral:rRNA from 1 species
UCGUCUCAGUUCGGACUGUAGUCUGCAACUCGACUACAUGAAGCUGGAAUCGCUAGUAAUCGCAGAUCAGAAUGCUGCGGUGAAUACGUUCCCGGGUCUUGUACACACCGCCCGUCACACCAUGGGAGUCGGAAAUGCCCGAAGCCGGUGACCCAACCAAAAGGAGGGAGCCGUCGAAGGCAGGUCUGAUAACUGGGGUGAAGUCGUAACAAGGUAUC